AUUCCGCACGUUUGGCAGUAGCGGCAGCUUCGAACUAGAAAAAGAGAAAGAAUAAUUUGGAUUUUCAAUGGAACAGAAGCAAUCCAAUUCGCCGGCAAGCUUCAUUGAUUCGACAGUGGUUCCAGGGGAUGUGGUGCUCGACCUCUCCUCCAUGACCAACCAGACCGUCAAGCUAGGAGGCGGUCUCCGUCAGGAUUGUGAUGCUAUUUCUGCGAUGAAGGCCGGAACACUUAGGUUCUCGAAACCAAAUAAAUACUGGGUUGAAAGUUCUCAGAAAAGGUAUGUGCCUUGCGUGGAAGAUACUGUUCUUGGUAUUGUGGUGGACUCUAAAGCAGAUAAUUUUCUUAUUGACGUCAAAGGACCUGCAGUGGGCUUUCUGCCUGUGCUUGCAUUUGAAGGCGGGACCAGAAGGAAUAUACCAAAGUUUGAGGUUGGUACUCUUCUUUAUCUUCGGGUUGUUAAGGCAAACUUUGGCAUGAACCCUGAAUUGUCCUGCACUGAUGCCGGUGGAAAAGCAGCUGAAUUUGGGCCCCUCAAAGAUGGAUACAUGUUUGAAACUUCAACUGGCCUAUCAAGAAAGCUGUUAAGUUCACCAACAUGUCCGGUUCUUGAGGCUCUUGGCAAGAAACUAUCCUUUGAAAUAGCUGUUGGCUUGAAUGGCCGGGUUUGGGUGAAUGCUGCCUCUCCAGAUACCAUUGUAGUUGUUGCUAAUGCAAUCAUGAACUCAGAAUCUCUAAGUGGAGCACAGCAGAUAAUUAUGGUGGAGCAUUUGCUUAAGAGCAUCCAAUGAUCAAGUUCGUUGAAAUACAUUAUGGAUAACUCCUAAUCUAUGCUAGAUGAUUUGAUGGGCAUGCAUACUCACUAGUCGUCAUGCUGAUAAAGUUGUACAUGAGAGACCAAAAAAUUAACAGUGACAGUUGAAUCCGUUGGCCUUAUCUGCAUAAGAUGAGCAGUUAAAGAUCAUUUUGACCUUGUCCAGUUACAGUCACGGAUGGUAGAUGAGGCUUGAGACUGAUCAAAAGAUAGAUGUUCCUUUGAAAGCAAACGUAAUUCAGAUGGUGAAUUAUUUGAAUUGCUUCUAAAUUCUAACAAUUAUGAAACCUAUAGCUUUAACACAAUUCGGUAGCCAUAACAAAAAGAAUUGCAUUAGUGUAGGAGUCCAGUCUUGAUAUUGUUCAUUUUGUCUACAACAAAACCCGAGUUGAUAUGGUAGCCUCAAUGAUUUUGUCUUGUGAAUUACAAACCCAGAAACCUUCACUUGUAGCUCGAUGUCCUCUUGAUAAACGUAAACUGACAAAUCUUAGGAUAAACAGCAAGGACCACUAGUGAUCUGACUAUCUCAGUUUAGCUUUUCUUUUCUGAUUUUUUUUUUUAUUAAAAAGAAAAAAUGAGGAAUCACGCUAUAAGAGGUUUGAUGGUUGGUAAUGCAACAUUUGAUAAGCGAAGGAGUUUCUUUCAAGUUACUUUUGAAGCUCUAUAAAUUAGCCCAUUAAAAUCAAUAAGAUUUA